CCUACGGGAGGCAGCAGUGGGGUAUAUUGCGCAAUGGGCGAAAGCCUGACGCAGCGACGCCGCGUGAGGGAUGAAGGUCUUCGGAUCGUAAACCUCUGUCAGUAGGGAAGAACGGUCACUGUGCUAAUCAGCAGUGAAUUGACGGUACCUGCAAAGGAAGCACCGGAGAACUCCGUGACAGCAGCCGCGGUAAGUCGGAGGGUGCGAGCGUUAAUCGGAUUUACUGGGAGUAAAGCGCGCGUAGGCGGUAUGUCAAGUGAAGGGUGAAGUCCCCGCGCUCAACGUGGGAACUGCAUUUGAUACUGGCAGUCGUGAGUGCGUGAGAGGAUAGUGGAAUUCGAGGUGUAGGAGUGAAAUCCGUAGAUAUCUGGAGGAACAUCAGUGGCGAAGGCGACUAUCUGGCACAUAACUGACGCUGAGGAGCGAAAGCGUGGGUAGCAAACAGGAUUAGAGACCCGGGUAGUC
rnacentral:rRNA from 1 species